GACGAACGCUUGCGGCGUGCCUAAGAAAUGCAAGUCGAACGGUGUCAGCAAUGGCACAGUGGCGAACGGUCGCGUAACACGUAAGCAACCUGCCCUGGAGUGGGGGAUAACGUUCCGAAAGGGACGCUAAUACCGCAUGUGGUCAGUUUCUCGCAUGGGAGACUGUCUAAAGAUUUAUCGCUCCGGGAUGGGCUUGCGGCCUAUCAGGUAGUUGGCGGGGUAACGCCCACCAAGCCGACGACGGGUAGCUGGUCUGAGAGGACGAUCAGCCGGAUUGGGACUGAGAUACGGCCCAGACUCCUACGGGGGCAGCAAUUAGGAAUCUUGCACAAUGGGCGAAAGCCUGAUGCAGCGACGCCGCGUGGGGACGAAGGGUCUCGGCCUGUAAACCCCUUUUGACAGGGAAGAAGAAUG
rnacentral:rRNA from 1 species